AAAAAAAAAAAAAAAAAGAAAAAAAAAAGAAAAAAAAAAGAAAGAAACAAAAAAAAAGAAACAACGACGCGACAUCAAAAAUAUUUAACGCAACGUUAGACUGCGAUCAAUCAUGACACUUGAUUUAUUAUAGGAAAUACUAUACGAAACUUUUAUAUCGGAAAAACAAAAACGUAUCUUUGUACGAGAAAGAGAAAAAGAAAAAAAGUAGCAGGAAACUAGGAUAUAAAAUUAAAGCCUAGUUUCAUAAAAGAAAUAAGAUAUGAACGCGCGAACAGCCGUAUUAAAAGAGAAGUUAGUAAAUAUCGGAGACACUUUCUCGGGCUCGAUUUUGCGAGAUCUCGAAGCAAUGAAAAAAGUUCCUACCUGCGUAUUGAUUAACGCGUAUCGUAUUUUAUAGUUCUUAUAUUGAUAUUAGAGCCAAGCAUUAUCUCUAGCAAGAUAAUUGUUUUCGGUGAUUCUGAGGAAAAAGUCGUAAUUUUACGAACUUUUUUCGUUGUGUUCCACCGUUCAAUCCCAAUAAAAUGUCUCCUAUAUCUAUUAACAGCCUGUAUAUCCGUGCUUUCUAAUAGCUGGUAAUUACGAGGCAUUUCGAUAUCGUAACGUGGAACAAUAAUCGAUCGAUCAAAUCAAAAAAACGCGAUGAAUGAUAAAGCAAAUUUUGCGCUUGAUCAAAACAUACCUAUUGGAAUUUUAUCGAUAUUUAAAUUAACUUGCAAUUAAGUAUCUUGCGAAUCGAGCAUGCAUAUGUAACUAAAAGAUGAAUUCGCGUAGUUUAAAACGAAAUUCAGAUUGAUAAAAAUUUUUACGCGAACCAGCUCAAUUAUUUUGUUUUACGAACGAUAUUUGAUUCGUUUGUUCCGCGAUACUUUAACGAGAUUUUGUUCCCCUCCAAAGAAAAUACUAGGAAGCUGAACCAAUCCAACCUUUAAAUCUCAGAACGAUGCAUACACAAUCUACGGCGGAUUAAGUAGGUUUCUGCGCGAACGAAUGGUAAGUUAGUUAGUAUGUUUCCAAUAUAACCGACGAUCGAUAACAAGCUCGAUUGAGAAAAUUUUGAUCGUCGGCAACGAUUUCGAACGAAUCGUUGAUAUAUCAAAUAUUCAUACUUUUAUGUAAAAUUAAGGCCUAGGUGUUCACAAAAAUGUGUAUCGUUAACGUUGCAAUUUUCUUUUAUCUAAUACGCGAUACUAAAUUAUUUUAUUCUUUAUUAUUUUAUAGUUUCAACGCAUAUUCGAUAUCGAGUUGUAUCUUUUAUCCUCGAAACGACGAUUCCAACUACUGCCACGAUUUCAUAAUAUAAUUUCUUGAAACGAUAAAACCCCGUUAGGUGCUAAACGAAUGAUCGCGUAGAAGGAAUUACGAAGGAUCUCAUAUGUCGUGAUCAGUAAGGAAUCGAGCGAUUACGUCUCGGUAUCUCGUCAGAGUGUUCCAACGAGUAAUGCGCGUUACCGAUCCGAGCUCACCCCGACGAGAUAUCCAAUGUGGAAGAUUGUACCGUGUAUUCGUAUUUAUUGUGCCAAAGAUAUAUAUAUUAAUUUUUUCUCUCUAUUUCUCAUCAAGGACGAAUCUUUGCAGGUAAGCAACGAUGUUUAUGAAAUAACGUCGAAGAAAAGAAGACGACUACUACGAUAUAUCGAAGAUCGUUCGACAAGAUUUUGGAGUAAUGGAAUAAGACGAUAAAGACGAUCAUCGUGCCGCUUUGUCUGUCUAUCGAACGUCCUAAUCUCCUGCGUCGCGUUCCAAGUGGAAUUAGACGCGAUUCGUCCUUUGAUGCACGGCUGCAUUAUCGUACUCAACUUUUCACAUGUCUCUUUUUUUCGAUUUUUCCUCUCUCUCAUUCGUUCUCUCUCCGUUCCCCUUUCUCUUCCCUUCUCAACCCCAAUUUCACAUUUACGUUUAACUGGACCAGCACUUCUCGUUUAUAGAUAUAUGCGAAUUCGUCAAGCGACGCAUCGCUGCGGAAUUGUAUCGUUCGCUCAAAUUACGUACGCGUUUCUC
rnacentral:lncRNA from 1 species